UUCACGAAUCACGUUCUCUCCAAAGAAGAACCCUAAUUUCGUUUUCCCUCUAUUUCUUCUUCCCCCAAUUUCUUGAUGAAACCAUUUAGCUAGCAAUUCAACUCAAUGUUUUGGUGCUACAAUCGCAAUUCAACUCAACGUUUUGGUGCUACAAUCGCAAUUCAUCUCAGCAUCGCAAAUUCAAAUCAGCAUCGCAACUCAAUGUUUCGUAAUCUCGUAAUCGUUGGCUUCUUACUCGAUAUCAUUGGGUUGGUUAUGCUUAUAGCUAUCGCUUGACAUUGCUUUGAUUUCCAAGUUCUACAAAGCUAAAAAGUAAGUUCAAAUAUGUCUACCGAAGGCGAUGAACCCGUAAUUCAAACUGAGGAUUCAGUUGACAGUUCAGUCCCUAGUUCGUAAAGAGCAAAAACUUCUACGGCUUGGGAAUGUUUUGAAAAGUUUGUUAAUGUAUGUUUAAUUAUUUUCUACUUUGAUUUUCUCUUAUAGCUCCAUUUGAUAUUGAUGGACCCGAUUUUGUUGAGGACCUUUCAACCUUCUUUUCCACAACAUGAGGUUACUGGAAGUUGCCAUCUAUCUUGGGAGAGCAUUAUACAAAUAUGGUUCUUUAACUUGAAGAUGAGUAAUGAUGAGAAAAGUUUUGGCAUGCAAAGAAGAGGUGGAAACAUGAAGAAAUUGAGUGGCUCCAAUCAAUUGGAAUUCUCUUGUAGCUUAAGGACUUUAUGCAACUUGAAUUCAACUUAUACCAACUUGAGAUAUGUAGCUAGUAGUCUAGUAUUGUAUGUAAUCUUGAAUUUGAAUGUUGCUUCACCUAGGAAUUCUCUUUUGUAAUUCAAGAACCUUGUGUAAUGGAAAUCCAAAGAUUUGUAGUAAUUUUGUAUCA